UCACAGAAGUUUGAUUUACUUGGAGUUAUAUUGUGUUGUUUAAGUGUUCCCUUUAUUUUUUUGAGCAGUGUAUAUUCUAACCACCUAAAACUAAAUAAAACGUAUGAUUUACAAAAUUCAACAUAAAUGGCCACAACAGUACUCUUAUUUAAAUUUGGUCCGACAAACUGAAAGAUUACUUCUCAAAACUGAAAAAAGAUUUUUUCGAAUUGGAUUUUCAGUCAAAACAGGAAUUUUUAGAGAGGAUCGGACCGACUCCAUAGCUGAAAAAUCUGCUUUGAAUAAGCGGGAGAAAGUAACCCCCUCUUUUCAAUCGGAGUGGUACACACGAAAACAGUGUGAAAUACACAGAUAUAACUUGGCAUUGAAUAGCUGCACAGACUGAACAUCAGCGUCCACAACACAAAGGGGAAGAAGAAGCGGAAGAUGUUGAUUGACUCGAUUAAUGCAACCUGCUUCCAUGGACUUUGUAUACAAAUAAAGAGAAGAUCAUACACAAUUUUCGAUUCUAAUACAAAAGAGAGAUAAGUCAAAAUGAAAAAAAUAUUUUAAAAAAUAAAUCUUGACCUUAUGUAAAUCAUUCUUUAGUUUUUCUUGCUAUUGUAUUGUUGAACAGUAUGGAAUUGAUUAAAGCAUUAUUAAAAGCUUUUAAAAUAAUUAAAUGUCAAUUAAAUUAAAAAUAGAAAUAUCAGCCUCUAUUUUGGGUUCAUAUAUUUGUACAUUCAACUCCAGAGGAGUCUGUGCCUCACCAGUCAUGAAUUUCAUCGCACGUCACUGGAAGGCUGCAAUGUCAAUGACAAAAUGCAAGCAACUGCUUACUGUCGCUACAUGCUCAUCCACGAGGGUUAAAUGGUGCAAGUCAAUUACUCGAGGCAAUCUGCUAGGUUUCUUGAGAUAGAAAACUAUUUAACUAAUUUGAAUAAUAAACUGAAUUUGACUGCAGUGUUUGAUAAUUAGGAUAAAUUGAAUGUACAUACAUGACUUGGAAUCUGUAUGAUUCGAAUGAAUUGACUUUGUAAGGUGCCUUCAGACGAAAUGUGUUGUGAAUUGGCACUAUAUAAUUAAAACUGAAUUUAACUGAAUUAACGGGGUGCAUAGAAGAAGUUUGGGUGUAAGAAAGAACAGAUAUGUUUUUUCUUCAUGUCUGUUUUUAAACAAGUCAUUGUAAUAUUUUACAAUAUUAUAGAACAGCAGCAUAUUUAUGUCCGUAAUAGUAGUGGUUGGCCCCCCUAGCGGUCUGGUGCACUUCUGUUAUGUGGAGUGAGUUUGCAGAUUUUCUUAAUUUACUGUUUUUUUUAUUUGUAGCAUUUUUCCUUUGCAUGUGUUUUGAUGGUUGUAGGUUUUUACUUUUCUUACUGUGAUUGCAUAAUUUUUCUUUUGCAAUGUUUUUCUGUUGCAUUUGUUUUUUGUGUUUGUGUGUCUUGGAGAUUGCAUUAUAUACCUGUUUGCAGUGCGUUUAGCAGUUUGUUGAGCUUUGCAAGUUGGCCAACGUAAUAUUCAGCUUCCAAUCCAACUUUAUUACAAAAAAAGGCAAUAAUAUUACCACAUUAACUUUUACAGCCUGAGUUAUCAACAUAACAUGCAUUCAGUGUGAAGCUGAGACUGUCCCUGUUCAGAAUGAAAAUUUAUUAAUUUAAGUUUCCUGAAUGUCAUCAUGAAAGAAUCAAAGUGAAAACCAAUAUUUUGUCACUUGUACUAUGAGUAUUUUUAUUUAAAGAGACCUCAUGAGUGAUUUUGUUCAACUUUCACAAAUUUAAAUGUCUCAAAUUUCCUGAAAAAAGGACCAAAAAAAGACGUGCACUGCUCUUUUCCACCCACACAUUUGCUCGCACAGAGAGGAACAGCCGUGAUGACAGCUUCCCACCUUAAUAAAAGGUGAUGAAAUGUCAGCGCAGUGGAACAAACAAGGUGAAAGACUCAAAUCGCUACUGGUCCUCAGUGUGCACUCAUUCCACUGAAGGUCACAAACCCCAUUCCUCUUUGACUCCUUUCAGGCCGGGUUCAUAUCUACCUGUUUUUAAAAUGGAGGUUUUCUACUGCAGCGGGGGUUAAAAAGAAAAAAAAAAACUGUCUCUGAUUGUGGCAUCCUGAGAAAACCCCAGUUGCAGAAAGUCAAGAAAAGAAGACAAGGAGGUGGAGGAGUAGGGCUUGUUUUUCUGGUUGUUAUCUCUUCACUCUGCUGCAGCUGCCUCGCCGUGCUGCACAAACACCUGCCGGCCUUCGGCGACACCAAGAGAAAAGUCAAUUCUGGCAGCAGAUAACCCGACCUGGGGUGUGUGCGGUGGGAAAAAGACACCUUGUGGUCGUGGUUAAGAUGCUAUGACACCUCCGUUUCCCUGCUGUGCUCCACCACUCACUCCAUUUCGCCUUGUUUACUCGUCCUGUCUUUUCUCCUACUAGCAACGUCUUCAGAGGCGUCCAAUUCUGUCAUCGUUCUCUGUCGUCUUUGUGUGUCUUUGUGCCGAAGUGUGUCUCUGUAUGUGGGCCUCCGCAAACCUGCAGAGAAAUUUACUACACAAUGGCCGUAUGACUUUACAAUAGCUGCUGUGGCGUUAUCUUGACAGCGGAGGAGGACUCUUUUGUCUGCAGUGGGCUUCUUGGGCGAAGAGGUUCGAGUCCAAGUGCAGGAGAUCACCAUGCUCUUGAGACAACAAAAGUGCUUCUGAUAUCGACCUCCAUGAUGUUUCCCAACAAUAACCAGGGCCUUGGGGUGAUGAAGAGAUGGCUUAGCUGCACUCAGAUAGAAGAAAGGGAAUCUGUUCAUGUGUGAACCGGCAGCUUGUUACAGACGGCUGCUUUUCUGAUUUGUUGCUGUUAUCCAACUUUGACUGUCUUUUUUCGGCUCAGCUGAACCUCUGAUUAUCAUUGUUACAUUGUGAAAUAUAUGUUUUUUUUAUUUUCAUUAUGAUCAGUUGUGUGAUGUGAUGCAGGUCACUGAAACAAUUGCAAUGAUCAUAUUUUCAUGUUUGUUCCAAAAUAUUUUGAUAAGAGUUACUAAGCAGUCUUGAAAAGGCUGGGAAUAUAUAUAAUUUUGUCUAAUCUUUUUCCAGUUCUAGAUAAGUAGGGAAACAAUUAUGUAAUUAAGAUCAGAAAAACAGUUAAAUUUUCUAGACAUGGACGAAAAUCUAAUAAUGCUUGCAUUAAGCUUUACAGUUAUUUAGAUUAAAUGACAUGCUUCAUUUUUGAUUUGCAACCUUACAACUUGAUUUUAACAUUUCCCUUGUCAGUAUUUUGUUUCCGGAUUUAUUGCAUAAAUACACACACUAAAUAAAAUUUGAAAUGAGCUAUUUUAAUAAAUGUUUUGACUCUGGGAAAACUUUAAAUUCAGGUUCAACUUUAAAUAAGUUAAACUGCCUUUUUUGUUCUGGCAAAUAAAUUGAAGCUACAAAUGUUCAAUGUUUUGAAAAAAGAGCAGGUUUAUUUUAUUCCAGAUGUAAAAUUGUGCUAUUUUACACUCAAAAUUCAAUUUAGACAUUGUUUUUGUCAUGAAUUAUGAAGCCUUAGGACAAUAAGACCUGAUUACUAUUACAACAGUUAAAGGUUAAUAUGUUGUACAACAAUGUCAGAAUGUUCUGAAAAGUCUAAAAAAAAAAGAAAUCCAAACUUAAAGUCUGAAAAAGUAUGACAUUUUUAAAUCACAAAUGUGCUUGUUUACAGUGUGGAUUUGACUUUGACACAAACAAAAGACCUAUCCAUCUAAAACAUUUAGAGUCUAUUGGUUAUUUUGUAUAUAUCCUGCAUUUGAAAUUUGACUUGCUAUAUUCAGUGAGUUUUCAGACCAUUUUUCAGCUGUUAUUGGAGCCUUUGGGAGACUCUGACUCUAUGACCAUGUGACGUUCCUAGGUUUAAUUUAGGAGGUGUUUACCCUUUGACAUAAAGACAAAUAAAUUGUGUAUGUACAAAUGUGCCACUUGCUGUUCCCCUAACAGUCAUGGAGGGAUGUAAAUAAAAAAUCAUCUGUCUUAAAUCAAUCAGUGCAUUCCUAUUACCCAUUAAGAUUGUCAAUAAGGAUGGGAUGCAGUUUGUUUAAAUAUUCAUGUUUUACUGUGACCUGCUUAAGAAAGCUAAACUAAAAAGCUAAUAAAUAGAUACCUACAUGACUCUGCCACAGCGUUUCUUUGGGGUCAUUGUUAGAGGUCACACGCUUAAUUAAGGGGGGAGAGUUAGAACUGUGACAAAUAAAAAAAAUCAACAAUUAAUUUUUUGUCUGUCCUGCAACGUUAUCCCUCUCUCCUGUGGCAUUCACUACAAUUAAAUGCAGAUGGUUAAUGCAUAUUAGACGAGGACAUCGUUAAGUGACUUCUAGUGAUUUUCAGGAUAGCUACUUUUCCUCUUGAAAAGUUGGCAGAGCCAUUGAGACACAGUGUUCCCACAGACAGCUUCUGACAGUCAUGGCCUGUUCUCAUGAGUAUGGCUUGCAAAACUGUAUUAUAAUUUAUAAACAUAAUUUUGUUGAUGUAAUGCAGGUUCCAUCUUAGAAAGUUUUUGUUGAGCGCAGCUUAAACACUUGUCAUUAAAUAUUCCAACUUUAAACAAAAAGCAGAGUGUUUGUCAACCAGGAUCAACGUUUUUUCGUGUAUGAUCUGUCUGCACCUGAUUAACUAGAACCACAAUGAAAUAUGCUGUGAUCCAAAAUAUUAAACGAUAUCAAACCUUUAGUAAAGGGGCAUGAUAACCGCGGCUGUAAUAUUUGUCAGCAGGAGCAAGAUGCCAGCUUUGGACUAGAGCUGCAUGGUUCGAGAAACAUACAAUAAAACUGAGUUUUGGUUUAUGUAAUGCCAAAAGAUUAUACUAUGUUUAUUAACUGAGGUAACCUGUGCUGGAACAGCAUAUUACAGCUCUCCUGCUCUCCUGCAGAAAGUUGCAUAGCAGAGACUGCAGCUUCCUCAACAUUAUUGGUGUAGUAAUAGAAAUAAAAUGUAGUGUUUUAUAUUAGCACACUAUGAAGCUGGCCAAAGUAUUUCUUAUUUUAUUUUUGUGAUAAAGUUAUGGUUUGUACUCUCUAAAUGGGGAG